CCUGCAGUGUCCCAGUGUCACUGGCAGGCCUUGACCUGGCCUCCACCUAAGCCCCUGCUCCUCCUCUCCCACAGGGAACAUGACAUCCUCUUCCUAGGUUACACCCACCUGCAGAGGGCCCAGCCCCAUCACUGGAGCCACUGGAUUCUGAGGAUGAGUAUUUUGUGUCAAGUGGAUUCAAGGGACAGUGCGAAGGAUCCAUGGCCUCAGUCAUGAAGACUCUCCCAAGAGCCAACCGUCCUGGGCACAUAUAAAUGAGUGGAGACAUGGAACUCACCCUUACAAGGCCUAGAACUUGACAGAGCAUACAAGACAGAAGCCCAAAUAACCAAGAACAGGAAGCUGAAGGUGACAUAGGAGGCUUUGUGGGUAACAGGCAUCAGCCAGGGCCAGCAGCCUUCAGUCAGAAGCUGAUGGAGGAGGAGGAGCUCCGACUAUUCUCACGGAAGUAUUUGUGCCCUUGUGGCUUGCUCUGUUGCAGC